AUUGAACGCUGGCGGCAGGCCUAACACAUGCAAGUCGAACGAGUGGCGGACGGGUGAGUAAUGUCUGGGAAACUGCCUGAUGGAGGGGGAUCACUACUGGAAACGGUAGCUAAUACCGCAUACCAUCAGAUGUGCCCAGAUGGGAUUAGAUAGUUGGUGGGGUAACGGCUCACCAAGGCGACGAUCCCUAGCUGGUCCGAGAGAAUGACCAGCAACACUGGAACGGGAAAACGGCCCAGACUCCUACGGGAGGCAGAAGUGGGGAAUAUUGCACAAUGGGCGCAGGCCGGAUGCAGCGAUGCCGCGUGUAUGAGGAAGGCCUUCGGGUUGUAAAGUACUUUCAGCGGGGAGGCGUUACCCGAAGAAGAAGCACCGGCUAACUCCGUGCCAGCAGCCGCGGUAAUAC
rnacentral:rRNA from 1 species